AGAAUCAACGCUGGCGGCGUGCCUAACACAUGCAAGUCGAACGCGAAAGCCCCGCAAGGGGCAAGUAGAGUGGCAAACGGGUGAGUAACACGUGGGUGACCUGCCUUCGAGCGGGGGAUAACGUCCCGAAAGGGACGCUAAUACCGCAUAACAUCCUGCCUUUGAAGAGGCGGAGAUCAAAGCUGGGGAUCGCAAGACCCGGCACUUGAAGAGGGGCCCGCGCCUGAUUAGCUAGUUGGUGGGGUAAUGGCCUACCAAGGCAACGAUCAGUAUCCGGCCUGAGAGGGCGGACGGACACACUGGGACUGAGACACGGCCCAGACUCCGACGGGAGCAGCAGUGGGAAUUGUUCGCAAUGGGCGCAAGCCUGACGACGCGAACGCCGCGUGGAGGAUGAAGAUUUCGGAUCGUAAACUCCUGUCGAAUGGACGAACAGAGUUGACGGUUAACACGCCCGUAGUCCGUAGACCGGUUAACCGUUAAAACGGAACCCCGGUCUAAACCGUCCGCCGACCGAGCCGACG
rnacentral:rRNA from 1 species